AUUGAACGCUGGCGGCAUGCCUAACACAUGCAAGUCGAACGGCAGCACAGCAGUAGCAAUACUGUGGGUGGCGAGUGGCGGACGGGUGAGGAAUACGUCGGAAUCUGCCCAGUCGUGGGGGAUAACUAGCCGAAAGGUUAGCUAAUACCGCAUACGACCGAGAGGUGAAAGCGGGGGACCGCAAGGCCUCGCGCGAUUGGAUGAGCCGACGUCGGAUUAGCUAGUUGGCGGGGUAAAGGCCCACCAAGGCGACGAUCCGUAGCUGGUCUGAGAGGAUGAUCAGCCACACUGGAACUGAGACACGGUCCAGACUCCUACGGGAGGCAGCAGUGGGGAAUUUUGGACAAUGGGCGCAAGCCUGAUCCAGCCAUUCCGCGUGCAGGAUGAAGGCCUCGGUUGUAACUAGCUUUUGUUACGGAACGAAACGGUACGUGCCCUAAUACGGUGGGCGUAAUGACGGUACCGUAACGGAAUAAGACACCGGCUAACUACGUGCCAGCAGCCG
rnacentral:rRNA from 1 species